rnacentral:siRNA from 1 species
UAAUACAUCUUCCCGAGUAAUGGA